AACACUGUUAACCUGCGGUACCUGCGGAAGGAUCAUAACUGGUUAAACUUUAUAAACACCAGAGUUUCAAACUCUGUGUUUGCAAACAAAAAAACACCCUUCAAAACAGCCAUUCAGUGUCUGAAUUAACUAGUUUAAUAUAAAAACAACUUUCAGCAAUGGAUCU
rnacentral:misc_RNA from 1 species